rnacentral:rRNA from 1 species
UACGUAGGGUGCGAGCGUUGUCCGGAAUUAUUGGGCGUAAAGGGCUCGUAGGCGGUUUGUCGCGUCGGGAGUGAAAAUCCAGGGCUUAACUCUGGACUGGCUUCCGAUACGGGCAGACUAGAGGUAUGCAGGGGAGAACGGAAUUCCUGGUGUAGCGGUGAAAUGCGUAGAUAUCGGGAGGAACACCAGUGGCGAAGGCGACUACCUGGCCUGUUCUUGACGCUGAGGCGCGAAAGCUAGGGGAGCAAACGGG